AUUGAACGCUGGCGGCAUGCUUUACACAUGCAAGUCGAACGGUAACAGGGAGCUUGCUCCGCUGACGAGUGGCGAACGGGUGAGUAAUGCAUCGGAACGUACCGUGUAAUGGGGGGAUAACGUAGCGAAAGUUACGCUAAUACCGCAUACGCCCUGAGGGGGAAAGCGGGGGAUCGUAAGACCUCGCGUUAUACGAGCGGCCGAUGUCGGAUUAGCUAGUUGGUGGGGUAAAGGCCUACCAAGGCGACGAUCCGUAGCGGGUCUGAGAGGAUGAUCCGCCACACUGGGACUGAGACACGGCCCAGACUCCUACGGGAGGCAGCAGUGGGGAAUUUUGGACAGUGGGGGCAACCCUGAUCCAGCCAUGCCGCGUGAGUGAAGAAGGCCU
rnacentral:rRNA from 1 species